CCCUGCUUGCAGGGUACUCGAGUGGCGAACGGGUGAGUAACACGUGGGUGAUCUGCCCUGUACCUUGGGAUAAGCCUGGGAAACUGGGUCUAAUACCGGAUAUGACAAUUGUUUGGAUGCGAUUGUGGAAAGCUUUUGCGGUAUGGGAUGAGCUCGCGGCCUAUCAGCUUGUUGGUGGGGUAAUGGCCUACCAAGGCGUCGACGGGUAGCCGGCCUGAGAGGGUGUACGGCCACAUUGGGACUGAGAUACGGCCCAGACUCCUACGGGAGGCAGCAGUGGGGAAUAUUGCACAAUGGGCGCAAGCCUGAUGCAGCGACGCCGCGUGGGGGAUGACGGCCUUCGGGUUGUAAACUCCUUUCGCAACCGACGAAGCUUUUGUGACGGUAGGUUGAGAAGAAGCACCGGCUAACUACGUGCCAGCAGCCGCGGUAAUACGUAGGGUGCGAGCGUUGUCCGGAAUUACUGGGCGUAAAGAGCUCGUAGGUGGUUUGUCGCGUCGUUUGUGGAAUACCGCAGCUUAACUGCGGGGUUGCAGGCGAUACGGGCAUAACUUGAGUGCUGUAGGGGAGACUGGAAUUCCUGGUGUAGCGGUGGAAUGCGCAGAUAUCAGGAGGAACACCGAUGGCGAAGGCAGGUCUCUGGGCAGUAACUGACGCUGAGGAGCGAAAGCAUGGGGAGCGAACAGGAUUAGAUACCCUGGUAGUCCAUGCCGUAAACGGUGGGCGCUAGGUGUGAGUCCCUUCCACGGGGUUCGUGCCGUAGCUAACGCAUUAAGCGCCCCGCCUGGGGAGUACGGCCGCAAGGCUAAAACUCAAAGGAAUUGACGGGGGCCCGCACAAGCGGCGGAGCAUGUGGAUUAAUUCGAUGCAACGCGAAGAACCUUACCUGGGCUUGACAUACACUGGAUCGGGCUAGAGAUAGUCUUUCCCUUUGUGGCUGGGGUACAGGUGGUGCAUGGUUGUCGUCAGCUCGUGUCGUGAGAUGUUGGGUUAAGUCCCGCAACGAGCGCAACCCUUGUCUUAUGUUGCCAGCAUUUGGUUGGGGACUCAUGAGAGACUGCCGGGGUGAAC
rnacentral:rRNA from 1 species